AGUCCGACGAGACGAGAGACAUCCACGCCACGGGAGGUGGGCCACGAACAAGCCGGCCGAUGAGCCCCUCACUCAUUCUUGUGGGAGCGGCGGCAGACCACAUGGGGACAGUGGUCACAAAUCUCUGCGACAGCGACAGGGCAAGAGACCGGCCAGUGCUGUCGCUGCCUCCGGCUGCAAUGUUUGAAGCAAUGGUGCGAGGCACUGAAGGCAAUGACAAUCACGCCUGCUGGAACGACGUGCCAGAUGCUCCUGAUCCGUCCGCCUCACCUCUCCAAGACAGCAGCGUUGGAGCUGCUUGUGUGACUCCGCCGGCAAGGAGC